ensembl:lncRNA
AUUUAUUUAUCCUACUUAUUUAUUUAUUUAUUUAUUUAAUUAUUUAAUUAUUUAUUUAUUUAAUUAUUUAAUCAUUUAAUCAUUUAAUCAUUUAAUUAAUUAUUUUUUUUUUUUUAGUCUUUUUUAAAUAAUACGAUAGUAAAUCAGUAUAAAAUAAUAUUUUUACAACCAAACUUGGGUAUUUUUUGGUAUAUCAAUUCACUGGUAAUAUAUAUGAGUAUAUAUGAACAUAUAUGCAUGUAUGUGUACAUAUUUAACAUUGUAAAGCAAAACUGGGUACAAUCAUAAUCAUUGUGCACAUACAACGCCUUCUCAACAUAAGUAUACAUACAUAUAUAUACAUACAUACAUAUAUAUAUAUAUAUAUAUGCAUGUACGUAUGUAUGCAUAUGCUGACCGUGUAAUAUUUUAUUCACACAUUUUAUAGAUAUUCAAAGAAUAUUACUACGCAUUUUUGUUCUUUUUUCACUUUCACGUAUUUUUUUACCCCAUCCCACUUUUGUUUCGUCUUAUGAAAACCCCACUUAUCUAUUUGCAAAUUAUGGUUGCGAUUACGUUGAUAUUUGAACCUAAUAUAACCAUAAACGACGUUGUGUACUGUUUGCUACUGAUGUCGAUUGAUUAUGAAAAAACGCUGUGCAACGUUCCUUUUGCGAAACUAUUCAUGAUAAUGCUCACUGGUUUAGGCUUGUUUUGUGUUACAACAAAUUUGUGGCUACACAAAAAUACAGCAAAUGCAAAUUAUGUAUAUGCUUACCAGUUGUUAACUUUUAACAUUAUUACUUUUAUUAUAGCUAACACUUUAAAUUUUUACAUUAAAGUACAAACACCCAUAAUGCAGUUGGAAGAAGGAAAAAGUUUUGUUGUGUCGAAAAACAGAAAAAAAUUGAACUUUUUAGAAGCGUUAAAGGAGACUCUUUCAUAAUUUGUUUUUUUACUGCAUGAUGUUAUAUAUAUACAUAUAUAUGUAUACAUUUUUUAUUACGCACUCACGCAAUAAUGCAUAAUGUUAGUUAAUUUUUAUUUUUAUCCUAAAAGUUGUAAUCAAUGUAUGAUUACUCUGUGUUUCUAUAAGUAUAUUGUACCUACAUUUGUACAAAAAUAUCAACAAAAAAAAUACAAGUUUGUAUACUCUUCCACAUUUACAAAAGAAAAAAGAAAAAAAAUUUAUGUUUCAUUUUUUAAUACAAUAGCUAUAAGUUGUGGAAAACAAAGAGUGUCACUCUUUACUUUUAUUUAUUUAUUUAUUUAUUUAUUUUUUUUUAUUUUAUUUUUUAUUUUUUUACAACUCAGUUUAAUUAAAAAAACAAAAGAAAGAAAUUAAUUAUAAUUAAUACAUAUGAACCUGUUUUUUUCAUUUGGACAUAUAUAAAAAAAUAUUUUCUUAUAAAAGGCAUAUAUUUUCCAUAUCAUUUCAAAGCAUAAUAGUUAUGUAAAAAUUGUAUGAGUAAAAUAUAGCUUUUUUUUUUUUUUUUUUUUUUUUUUUUUUUUUUUUUUUCUUGCUCAUGCAUAAAUAGCAUAGCAAUAUUAAUAAUUAUAAUUUUUUUUGUGAAAAAAAUAAAUGGAACGUUCUUAUCA